GAUGAACGCUGGCGGCGUGCCUAAUACAUGCAAGUCGAGCGAACGGACGAGAAGCUUGCUUCUCUGAUGUUAGCGGCGGACGGGUGAGUAACACGUGGAUAACCUACCUAUAAGACUGGGAUAACUUCGGGAAACCGGAGCUAAUACCGGAUAAUAUUUUGAACCGCAUGGUUCAAAAGUGAAAGACGGUCUUGCUGUCCCUUAUAGAUGGAUCCGCGCUGCAUUAGCUAGUUGGUAAGGUAACGGCUUACCAAGGCAACGAUGCAUAGCCGACCUGAGAGGGUGAUCAGCCACACUGGAACUGAGACACGGUCCAGACUCCUACGGGAGGCAGCAGUAGGGAAUCUUCCUCAAUGGGCGAAAGCCUGACGGAGCAACGCCGCGUGAGUGAUGAAGGUCUUCGGAUCGUAAAACUCUGUUAUUAGGGAAGAACAUAUGUGUAAGUAACUGUGCACAUCUUGACGGUACCUAAUCAGAAAGCCACGGCUAACUACGUG
rnacentral:rRNA from 1 species